rnacentral:rRNA from 1 species
AAUAUUGCGCAAUGGAGGAAACUCUGACGCAGCGACGCCGCGUGAGCGGUGAAGGUCUUCGGAUCGUAAAGCUCUGUCCUUGGGGAAGAAGGUCUUCGGACUUGACUGUACCCAUGGAGGAAGCCCGGGCUAACUACGUGCCAGCAGCCGCGGUACUACGUAGGGGGCAAGCGUUGUCCGGAAUUAUCGGGCGUAAAGGGUGCGUAGGCGGCCUUUUAAGUAAGAUGUGAAAGCCCACGGCCCAACCGUGAGAUGGCAUUUGAAACUGGAGGGCUUGAGUAUCGGAGAGGGUAGAGGAAUUCCCGGUGUAGCGGUGAAAUGCGUAGAUAUUGGGAGGAACACCAGUGGCGAAGGCGACUACCUGGACGAUUACUGACGCUGAUGCACGAAAGCUAGGGGAGCAAACA